rnacentral:rRNA from 1 species
UUCCUACGGGGCGCAGCAGUCGGGAAUAUUGCGCAAUGGAGGAAACUCUGACGCAGUGACGCCGCGUAUAGGAAGAAGUUUUUCGGAAUGUAAACUAUUGUCGUUAGGGAAGAGAAAGGACAGUACCUAAGGAGGAAGCUCCGGCUAACUACGUGCCAGCAGCCGCGGUAAUACGUAGGGAGCGAGCGUUAUCCGGAAUUAUUGGGUGUAAAGGGAGCGUAGGCGGGAUUGCAAGUUGGAUGUGAAAACUGCGGGCUCAACCCGGAGCGUGCA